GUGGGUUCUGCAUAGACGGUCACAUACAUUAAAACAGUUGGUUCCUGCCGACAGAGUCUGUAUAGUUAUCAGAUUUUCUGUGUGAUGGCUCCAUACAUA